GUUUCGAAUAGAACAAUGUGGGAAAUCCACACGAAGAAUUUGGCUCGCGCGUACAAGUUUAUCCAAUACAAUUCCGAGCGUUUAUGGAAAAUAUGUGUCUAACUGUAAAAUGUUACUAUUAAGAGAACAUUAUUUAAUCGAUACAUAGAAAACUACGGAAGUAAGCCCGGUAGAACAACGUGAAUCCCGGACUGCUGACAAGCAACGGCCUCAUCAGACAUGGCGAGGAGUCGGAGAUCCUUUACCGUAAAUUCCACUUGUAAAGGCGAGGCAACAACCAUAUACAGUCAUUGGCAACAACACAUUUCAUUUUUACGGGAACGAGCAUGGCGUGCACCCGAGAGACCAGGGGACCCUAAAUUGUGCCAGUCCAGCGAACUAUUGUCUUAUUGCAAGAAAUACAUUUGACUGUAAAGAUUUGGACGGUGAUACCACCGCAGCACCUGAUUUCGAGGCCAGCUCGCCCCCGCGUCCACAUGUAUCUUGCGCAUGUACGCGAACAGGACUCCAAGGUGCAUUGCACGGGCGCUAGUGUUGUGGUACAGACGCUGAGAUAUAAUAACUCCCACCCAUAUCCCUUGUAUUCUGAUCUAACGGUCUUAUCUGUUACUAUUUAAAUUAUGAUGUGUCUUGAAGGUCCUCUUAGGCCCAGCUUUUGUAUAUUCUAUUAAUAAUUAGCACUUUUCUUUCAAUACUUCCUACACAGUUGUUGGAAGGCGCCAUUUUACAUUCAGUUCAAAUGGGCACGUAUUCUCGCGAGUACUCGCUUGGAAAGGGUCACGAUUAAGGCAUGCAUGCUAGUAGCAGAAAGGAUGCUUAUCUAUGAAGUUCAAUUAAAUUAUUAAAUUAUAGGACUAUUAUAUUUUAUUAUAUUCAAAGAUUCAGGAAGUUGUGGAAUGACAAUGAAAUAUUUGAUAUGAAUCACAUCUAUCUUUGUUUUUUCACUGUACAUUCUGAAACUUACCAAAUACCUUUCAAGGAUCGAAUACAACCCUGGUUCCUAAAGCACUGUUUGAAAUGGCAAAACAAAAAAAAGUUAUAAUUAAAAAACAAACACAGGCUACAAUAACAUUUUCUCAGUUGGCCUAUUGUUGGGCAAAAAAACAUCCAUAUAUUAAUUCCUAAUGUUUUAAUGUAAAAGUGAGUGUUAAACUGACUGUUACGUUUAAGGAAACCUCAUUUUGACCCUUGCACCCUGUAAAGGUUAAUUUUGUUCAGAAGUUAAUAUUCAAGGUCCGUCUGAAUGUAUACACUUUUGUGUGUGUAUGUGCCUUUAAACAGGAAUACAACUGCCCCAGUCUGCCUUAAAGAGCCAGGCAUGUGCUGGUGAGGCUCUCCCCACAACAGGCUGCCUCUCUGCUCUCUUAAGGUGGACCAGAAGAGAUGUGUUGCGUGUGUCUAGUACCUUGCAGUAACAAUGGACGGGAAAGAGUUAAUUCCCACGGUCUCUCCUCUAGCCUCUUUGUGAUCUCAUGGAAGGCUGUCCAGUGGAUAUGAGGAUCACUCUCUUCCCCAGAACACUUCUUAUACACCGCAUCUCAUCUAAUAAUAGGGUACACACACACACACACACACACACACACACACACACACACACACACACACACACACACAAAACACCCCUCAUACAAAGGUAAAUUCAUAUGAGGUGUGUAUGAUGAGAGGUGGGACUGAUCCCAAGCUGUACAAUACAUGACAACCUGUUAUGACUUGUUGACAGCAUACACAACACAUGGCACUAUGUUACAAUUGUGGAAUGAAUGAGAGGCCCUCACAUAGACUAUUGCUGCUCCAAGUGCUUUAUUCUUGCACCCAAAUACACUAUGUUUCGACUUCACAGAAGACUUUGUCCGGUGUAUAUUACGAUUGACCUAAACCUAUUUACAUAUUAUAGUAAUCCUCAUCACUUACUGUAUCAUGUUAGUUACAUGAAUGUGUUUUGUGUAUGUCACUGUAUAAAAAUGUAUCUUAAGUUCUUUGUAGGCUAGUCUGUGUUUGUCGGUUGACAGUACCACCUGUCCUCCUUUGCUCAGUGUCUGCCUGAGGUUAGUCCCAGCAUACUGGCAAUAAUCCAUGAACUUGGCGUCAAAACAAUAGGUAUGUUGUACACACCUACACAAUACACACACUUACACAAUACACACAUCUACCAGAAUACACACAUCCACCUAUUCCUAUUCUAACUGAUUUCCUCUAUGCAUUUGUAAAUCUUUGUGUCUGUGAGGUGUGUCUGUGUGUGUGUGUGUUUUUUCUCUACUGUCCUCGUGCACUGCUGGUAUCUUUGCGCCACUCUAAUGAUCUUAAAGUAAUCCUUGACUGAUGAGAUUACAGAAAACAGUGUGAAAAGGUAUGUAGAGGAGAGACUGAGCAUCACUAUAACAGAUCCACUCAGUGCAAACAGGACAACUACAAAAUGGCUACACUUGACCCAUGAGACCAACGGGAGAAAAGGGAAAGCCAGUGUGUUACCCAACAACACGACAAAUGUGAAGCAGAAGUCUAAAGGAUCAGAGGUAUAUAUUGAAAGAGCAGCCUUUAUUGCUUUUGAUGGAAAUUAAAUUGGUUUAUUGAA